rnacentral:ncRNA from 1 species
UACGGUAACGCGACUGAUCCCGGAGAAGCUGGCGGGAGCCCCGGGGAGAGUUAUCUUUUCUUUGUGAAGGGCAGGGCGCCCUGGAAUGGGUUCACCCCCGAGAAAGGGGCCCAAGCCCUGGAAAGCAUUGCAGUUCCGGCGGUGUCCGGUGAGUUCUCGCUGGCCCUUGAAAAUCCGGGGGAGAG